rnacentral:rRNA from 1 species
AUUGAACGCUGGCGGCAGGCCUCACACAUGCAAGUCGAACGAGUGGCGGACGGGUGAGUAAUGUAUGGGAAACUGCCCGAGGGAGGGGGAUAACUACUGGACACGGUAGCUAAUACCGCAUACCAUCGGAUGUUCCCAGAUGGGAUUAGAUAGUAGGUAGGGUAACGGCUCACCUAGGCUACGAUCCCUAGCUGGUCUGAGAGGAUGAACAGCCACGCUGGACCUGAGACACGGUCCAGACUCCUAGGGGAGGAAGCAGGGGGGAAUAUUGAACAAUGGGCGCAAUCCUGAUGCAGGCAGGCCGCGUGUAUGAAGAAGUCUUGCGGGGUGAAAAGUACUUUCAGCGAGGAGGCGUGACUCGCAGAAGAAGCACCGGCUAACUCCGUGUCAGCAGCCGCGUAAUAC